rnacentral:rRNA from 1 species
CCUACGGGUGGCAGCAGUGAGGAAUAUUGGUCAAUGGGCGCUAGCCUGAACCAGCCAAGCAGCGUGAAGGAUGACUGCCCUAUGGGUUGUAAACUUCUUUUAUAUGGGAAUAAAGUCUAGGAUGUAUACUGCUUUGCAUGUACCUUAUGAAUAAGGAUCGGCUAACUCCGUGCCAGCAGCCGCGGUAAUACGGAGGAUUCGAGCGUUAUCCGGAUUUAUUGGGUUUAAAGGGAGCGUAGGCGGGUUGUUAAGUCAGUUGUGAAAGUUUGCGGCUCAACCGUAAAAUUGCAGUUGAUACUGGCAGCCUUGAGUACAGUAGAGGUAGGCGGAAUUCGUGGUGUAGCGGUGAAAUGCUUAGAUAUCACGAAGAACUCCGAUUGCGAAGGCAGCCUGCUGGACUGUAACUGACGCUGAUGCUCGAAAGUGUGGGUAUCAAACAGGAUUAGAUACCCCAGUAGUC